UGGGAAUUUGGACAAUGGGCGAAAGCCUGAUCCAGCAAUGCCGCGUGUGUGAAGAAGGCCUUCGGGUUGUAAAGCACUUUUGUCCGGAAAGAAAUCCUUGGCUCUAAUACAGUCGGGGGAUGACGGUACCGGAAGAAUAAGCACCGGCUAACUACGUGCCAGCAGCCGCGGUAAUACGUAGGGUGCAAGCGUUAAUCGGAAUUACUGGGCGUAAAGCGUGCGCAGGCGGUUUGCUAAGACCGAUGUGAAAUCCCCGGGCUCAACCUGGGAACUGCAUUGGUGACUGGCAGGCUAGAGUAUGGCAGAGGGGGGUAGAAUUCCACGUGUAGCAGUGAAAUGCGUAGAGAUGUGGAGGAAUACCGAUGGCGAAGGCAGCCCCCUGGGCAAUACUGACGCUCAUGCACGAAAGCGUGGGGAGCAAACAGGAUUAGAUACCCUGGUAGUCCACGCCCUAAAACGAUGUCAACUAGUUGUUGGGGAUUCAUUUCCUUAGUAACGUAGCUAACGCGUGAAGUUGACCGCCUGGGGAGUACGGUCGCAAGAUUAAAACUUAAAUGAAUUGACGGGGUCAUAGCUGUUUCCU
rnacentral:rRNA from 1 species